rnacentral:rRNA from 1 species
UACGAAGGGGGGCUAGCGUUGCUCGGAAUCACUGGGCGUAAAGCGCACGUAGGCGGCUUCUUAAGUCAGGGGUGAAAUCCUGGAGCUCAACUCCAGAACUGCCCUUGAUACUGAGGAGCUCGAGUCCGGGAGAGGUGAGUGGAACUCCGAGUGUAGAGGUGAAAUUCGUAGAUAUUCGGAAGAACACCAGUGGCGAAGGCGGCUCACUGGCCCGGUACUGACGCUGAGGUGCGAAAGCGUGGGGAGCAAACAGG